CGAUUCUGUACCGCCUCUGGGAUGUUUGCCGAUGCUAGCGUAGAGGACUUUUAUGCCAUAGUGAGGAAGAAGACGGCGUCUGUGGUGAUACGGAUGAGGGGGAGCUCAAUUAGCAUCCUGAAAAUGAUAGCAGAGAGGUGGGACUCGGAUAUUCUCCGCCGAUAUACCGACCGACCUACAUGUCUUACGACCUAGAAAAUAAGUAUUUUUUAUUUAUGUUUUAAGUUCACUAAUGUAGUUUCAUAAGUGUCUUGUAACUAACAAUCUAUGGAUCUCAGGAAUCUGAAAAUAAAUAUAUAUAUUUUUUUAUGGCGACUUUAUCAACAAUUUUUAUUCGGAUUAUGGAAAGCCCUAAUGUGUGUGUGGAAACCGUUGUAGUAAACCAGAAACAGCGAUAAUUUCACGAAAGUGAAUCAGCAGAUGGCUUGAGCGUGAGAUAAUAAUAUAAUCCUGGGCCGUCAAAUGAUUUCUUGGAAAAAGCUCAAAGGGCACGUAUCUGCCGCAUAUCCAAACUACUUUCCCGGUGACCAAGAACGCUGAGUGGAGCUGUGAAGCAGAAAAUGUCCGAUAACCGGAUAGAUGUAAUAACAACUUGUAACCAUUUGCCAUAUCAGUGUAUGUAUUCAUAUGUAUUGCUCCUAACAUAUAUACAGUAAUCCUAAUAGGAAUGAAAAUAUUUAUAUCUUAAUAAUACGUAACUUUUUGUUACCUUUUAUAUUUCACGAAUUACUAAAUAUAGUACCUAAUCAUUAUCUUUUAACGUAUUUUUUACUUAUUUGUGAUAUGCUAAUUGAAGAGCCCAACAACGCGCACACUAGCGCCACUGCUAAAUAAUCGUGAUUAUUUAAAUUUAACGACAGGUAUUUAAAAAGGGGGCCGCUUCGGACUGUAUUGUAUAUUUAGGUACCUUUUGAAUACAUCAAACUAGUUUUUGUUGCUGGAUUCGUCGAUCUAUGAGCUCGAAACAAACGGCCGUUUUAACUAUAGACGGGUAGAUUGACGAAUCCAGUAACAUAAAAACUAGUUUAAUGUAUUCAGCAGUGGCGCUAGUGUGCACGUUGAUGGGCUCUUAAAAACCUGACCCCAACAAAAAAGAAAAAGUACUUACAAAAAGAAAUUCCCUCUCCGGGAUUCGAACCUAGGACCAUUAGCUUCCUGAACUGGAUUACUGCCAAUACCCGCUAGGCAAAACGGGUUGUCAAUUCUAAUUACAGUGGUAUCCUACCAGAGCGCUAGUAGUAUAAACGAACUUUUGAAAGGGAAAUUUUUUUGUAUGGAGUUAUCGUUCUUCUCCUAGUGA